rnacentral:rRNA from 1 species
CAAUAGCGUAUAUUAAAGUUGUUGCGGUUAAAAAGCUCGUAGUUGGAUUUCUGCUGAGAACGACCGGUCCGCCCUCUGGGUGUGUAUCUGGCUCUUUCUUGGCAUCUUCUUGGUGAACGUUGCUGCACUUGACUGUGUGGAGCGCUACCCAGGACUUUUACUUUGAGGAAAUUAGAGUGUUUCAAGCAGGCAUACGCCUUGAAUACAUUAGCAUGGAAUAAUAAGAUAGGACCUCGGUUCUAUUUUGUUGGUUUCUAGAGCUGAGGUAAUGAUUAAUAGGGAUAGUUGGGGGCAUUCGUAUUUAACUGUCAGAGGUGAAAUUCUUGGAUUUACGGAAGAUAAACUACUGCGAAAGCAUUUGCCAAGGAUGUUUUCAUUG